UGGUGCAUUAGUGCUAGUAUGAUCACACCGGAUCCCAUCAGAACUCUACAGUUAAGCGUGCUUGGGCGAGAGUAGUACUGGGAUGGGUGACCUUCCGGGAAGUUUUCUCGGAAAGUGUGUGAG
rnacentral:rRNA from 1 species